UCCAACUAAAAAUGAUAAAUCCUAAUGACUUAAUUCGAUUUUUAUACCUUUUUUCUCAACCCUUUCAAAAGUGAACACAGAUUGAAAGACGUCAAAUUUGGAUGUUACACCAACCUUACAUGAAAAUGGGCGUCACAAAUCAGAGGCGACACCUUAAUACCAAUUCGUUAAGAUUGUCCAGGUGCGUUUAUAAGAACAGACUAGAAAGCACGUAGCUGAGAGGAAUCGUCGAGCUAGGAUAAACUAUUACCUAGAAGAAAUAGAAAAACUAAUUAGUCCAUCAAUAAUACAGCCAAGUUCUCCAGCGAAACUAGAAAAGGCAGAAGUUUUGGAGAGAGCGGUGAAUUAUUUAAAACGGCACAAAGCAUCACAAAUGAAUGUGCAUCAGAAUUAUAUACGGGGAUUCUUAGAGUGUAUCAGAAGUAUCCAAGCUUUGAUGUUAACUAUGAAGGUUUCGGAAAAUGACGUCAGACAUAUCUUCCACGGAUGCUUAGCAAGUGUUAAAAAUCGAUUACAAAUUGGAACCGGACAGUUCUCUGAGUCUACAGAAAGGAACUCGGAGAGUCAUGAUAAUAUUGCGGGAAGAAGAAUUCGGCUUAUACGGCACGGAAUUUCCAAAAGUCCGUCUAAGGGAUAUAACAUUGUGCGGAGUCGACGAGCCCCGCUUGGUGAACUUUCUACCAAUUCGUUAGAAAACAUAGCGCAAUCGCCAGAAGAAUGUGUGUCGGAUUAUGAAAUGUCGGACGAUGAAAAUCAUGCUGUGGAUUUAACCCUUACAAAUAAAUUGAGUUUUAAUAAAAGUUCAAACAUCGACGAACAUUCAUCAGAUUCUCAAGAAUCUCAUGUGACUCAAAAUAAAUGCGAUGACGAUUCUA